rnacentral:misc_RNA from 1 species
UGGAAAACAGUAUUGUUUGUAUGAUUCUGAUCCUGGGACUGGAUCUGGCUGCUUCUCUGCUUCGAUUUUCCAAUCCUGAUUGUCUUAAUCGGCUUGGGGGUGGAAUUGCUGUAUUUCUAACAGAGUAGUGGGAAACAAUAUAGAACUAGAGUUGCAAGAACAAUAUGGCUGUCUCCAUGAGAGAUUUGGACCCAGCUUUCCAGGGGGCAGGUCAAAAGGCUGGGCUUGAAAUAUGGCGCAUUGAAAAUUUUAAUCCUGUUCCUGUUCCAAAGUCUUCUUAUGGAAGGUUCUUUACUGGUGACUCCUAUAUCGUUCUUAAGACAACCUCCUUAAAAAGUGGCACCUUGCGACAUGAUAUUCAUUACUGGCUUGGUAGGGAUACCACUCAGGAUGAAGCUGGUACUGCUGCCAUCAAAACAAUUGAACUAGAUGCAGCUCUAGGUGGACGUGCGGUACAAUACCGUGAGGUUCAAGGUCAUGAGACCGAGAAAUUCCUUUCCUGUUUUAAACCAUGUAUA